UACGUAGGGUGCGAGCGUUGUCCGGAAUUAUUGGGCGUAAAGGGCUCGUAGGCGGUCUGUUGCGUCGGUAGUGAAAACUCAGGGCUUAACCCUGAGCUCGCUCCGAAGUACGGAGGCAGACGUAGAGGUAUGCAGGGGAGAACGGAAUUCCUGGUGUAGCGGUGAAAUGCGCAGAUAUCAGGAGGAACACCGGUGGCGAAGGCGGUUCUCUGGGCAUUACCUGACGCUGAGGCGCGAAAGCGUGGGGAGCGAACAGG
rnacentral:rRNA from 1 species